AUGUGCCAGUUGCUUUUUCAGACACUGGGUCACACCAGUGAAGGAGACAGACCAGGUGCCUGUGCUCAGGAAGCUUACAUUCCAGAAGGGAGACACGAUACACGAAUAGUUGUGAAUACCAUGUCAUGUGCGUGGAAGGGCUCAUCCAGAACGAAAGGACUAGAACUAUUGCCACUGAGGGGAGGUGAAAGUUCAGCCAACUUGGAACCCGGAGGCCUCGCCUUACCUCCCUUUGUGAAGAGCCCAGAGCCUUUGUCCAAAGCUGCAUCACUUCCCACCCAGCCCUUCCUGAGCCAACUCCCCGAUGUCUCCAGACGAACACAGUCGACAUCAUCGUGAUAACAUCAGGGAAACUCCUAUUUCCAGCAGUUUCUCCUUCAGCUGCAAAAAUGUGCAGCGGUAGACAGGGCGUGGGUUUUUGAAGUCUCUGCAGGAAGCAGAGUUGUUUUCUCAGCACCACAUCUGAGCGCAUCUUCUAAGGGUGGCCGACUGUGUGGGAGCUGUAGGAGCUCAGCCGGGGUGCAGCCCUCCCAUUCCCCACCCUGUCCACCACCACCACGCCUGGAUCUGACAGGGAGGGCAGGACCCCACACCACGUGGUGAGUGUUAAGGAAAAUAGAGCCAGGUGGGGCGGAUGCCUGAUACUCUUCCUGGUUUUCCUGAGUGCUCUUUGUCUCCCCUACUCCUACUCACAAUAAAUCUGACUACACUUAAACUUAGAUCAUCAUAAGAAACCCCACAAAUGCCCAUCAUCCUCCACUGCUGUGAUCACGAAUCUAGAAUGGACAUUUCAUAUCAAUGCCACAGUCCCCUGGGACCAUCAGCCAGAAAUGUUAUCACAACUCCUCACUUUGCCCCCUAUUCCCAGAAGGCAAGGAAAGAAGGAACCCAGUUUCCUAGUGUGUAAGGACUCGUAUAGAAGGAACCCAGAUGCCUACUAAUCCUACUAAGAUGCACACAGCUCAAAGCUCAGUUACAUUAAUGGUGGGCCUACUGCAUGCUUGGGAUGCUUCCCUGUGUGUUUUGUGUGGUCCUUUCAGAAGUCCUGUGGAUAGACAUUGUUAGCCCCAUGGUACAGUUGAAGUUGAGAAUCCCUAGUGGUUAAGUCAUUCCCCCAGAUCACAUGGAUGGCAGGUGACAGAGGCAAGACCCGGCCUUGGGUCAGGUAUGAAUGUCUCGAAGACUUGGAUCUGUCUGCACGUGGGUGAUUAUCACAUCCAGACUUGCACUGAAGGUCAUGCUGGCUGCCAUGGGCUGUGAAUACCUUUCCUCAAUCAGGCACUUUGUGUCUAUUAUCUCAUUUAAUCUUUGUUCCACUUUAUAAAGUGGCUCUUAAUAUGCCCCCUCUACAAGUGAGGCACCUUGUCUAAUGUCACUAAGCUGUGUACCUGGACUUGAUUCCAAAGCCUAUGGGGUUUCCAUUAAGCACCUUUGCCUUUUGAAAAGUAGGUAAUUUCUCCACCUCUCCUAACCCCCAUUUUCUGAAUCUGUGGCACAUUAAAUGCAUAUAAAUGCAAACACAGAUGACA
rnacentral:lncRNA from 1 species